GACGAACGCUGGCGGCGUGCUUAACACAUGCAAGUCGUACGGUAAGGCCCUUUCGGGGGUACACGAGUGGCGAACGGGUGAGUAACACGUGAGUAACCUGCCCACAACUUUGGGAUAACGCUAGGAAACUGGUGCUAAUACUGGAUAUGUGCUCCUGCUGCAUGGUGGGGGUUGGAAAGCUCCGGCGGUUGUGGAUGGACUCGCGGCCUAUCAGCUUGUUGGUGGGGUAGUGGCCUACCAAGGCGGCGACGGGUAGCCGGCCUGAGAGGGUGACCGGCCACAUUGGGUCUGAGAUACGGCCCAGACUCCUACGGGAGGCAGCAGUGGGGAAUAUUGCACAAUGGGCGCAAGCCUGAUGCAGCAACGCCGCGUGCGGGAUGACGGCCUUCGGGUUGUAAACCGCUUUCAGCAGGGACGAAGCUUUUUGUGACGGUACCUGCAGAAGAAGCACCGGCUAACUACGUG
rnacentral:rRNA from 1 species